rnacentral:rRNA from 1 species
UACGUAGGGUGCAAGCGUUGUCCGGAAUUAUUGGGCGUAAAGAGCUCGUAGGCGGUUUGUCGCGUCUGCUGUGAAAUCCCGAGGCUCAACCUCGGGCUUGCAGUGGGCACGGGCAGACUAGAGUGCGGUAGGGGAGAUUGGAAUUCCUGGUGUAGCGGUGGAAUGCGCAGAUAUCAGGAGGAACACCGAUGGCGAAGGCAGAUCUCUGGGCCGUAACUGACGCUGAGGAGCGAAAGCGUGGGGAGCGAACAGG